rnacentral:lncRNA from 1 species
GGGGCCAUCAGACCUGUGGUGGUUGGUGUGCUGUGCCUUCUUCAAGGUUUGUUGCCCUUAUGUUGUUAUAAUUCGUUGGUUUGCUUUUGCCUUUCCUCCGUAUUUUCCUUAUGACUAAGCAGUUGACUGAUUUGACUCCAUGUUUUUCCUUUGUGAGCAAAUCCUUCGGUUAUGACCAAGGUGUUUCCAGUGAGGUUUUUACAGUUCCAAUUCACCGGAGUCGCAAUAUUUAUUUUCUGUAACUGAUCUCAUGUUGCCCUGUAUGUUUUAUGAUAAUUCUUGAUCUCUCUGAAUUGCUACUGACAGUGUGUAGCUUAUUAGUUAUUAAGUUACAUAGAUCCUAAGUUUCAGUUUACAUCUUGGUGAUGUAUUUUUACAGUUCUAUAGUACCUAAGUAAGAGCUGUUAUUUCUUGCAUUUUCUUUUUGACUGUUUUUUAGUUGAACAAAUCUUUUGUAAAUGUUUGGAAUUUUGCUUGGAUGUUCUGCUGUUACUUCCCUUCUUGUAGUAUUUUUAGGAACACUUCUUCUAAUCAUCGGCAAGUUCUGGGCUGAAUUAUAUCAUUUCCCUUGCAAUCAUAAAUUGUGUUAUGUUCUGAAUUUUUACUUUGUUCUCAAAUAAUUACUAUUCUCAGUCUGUAGUGUUUACAUUUCUAAAGAAAGGGAGUUAUAGUUUUAGUUGUUGUAAUAUCACUUUAUGUACUGUUGGAGUUGUUUGUAUGUUAGCUUAUCUCAGUCGUCAUAAAGUAACCUGUGUUGCGGUUCUUAUAGUUUGCCCGCAAUUUUGAACUAGGCAGAUUAUUAGUGCUCUUAUUCUUCACGUGCAAUGUAAAUUUCAUGUAAUAUUUGUUGUGCAGUCAGUCCUAGCUGAUUAGGGUGCUCUGUUUGUACUGACUGGCUGCCGACCUUUUUUCCUCUGAUUUGUUAUUUUUGCCCACUUCCAGGUAACAUUUCAAGGGUAUUGGGCCACGUAAAGGCAGGAGUUUUCUGCUGUCAGUAUGUAAAAGUUUUUUUUUUUUGAGGAAGUGGAAGUUGAGCUGCCGAUAUAUUAAGCAGGAGUAAACAAAUACAAUGAUUCUCUUGUUUUACAAGAGGUUGGGAUUAAGGUUUCCCACACCAAACUGAAAGAAAAAGCUAAUCAGGUUCUG